AUUUGUCCGCUUCCCGACACCACCACGCCUUCCGCCAGUAAUGCCUGACGUUGCCGCUGUAGAUCCGGCCCGGUAAGUGAUAUUGCGCCGUGGCGGUUCACCACCCGAUGCCAUGGUAAAGUGCUGCUUUAAGGAUACGUUCGUUGGGUAGGGAGCGUUCUGUAAGCCUGUGAAGGUGGCCUGUGAGGGUUGCUGGAGGUAUCAGAAGUGCGAAUGCUGACAUAAGUAACGAUAAAGCGGGUGAAAAGCCCGCUCGCCGGAAGACCAAGGGUUCCUG
rnacentral:rRNA from 1 species